AAACUCUCUUAUUCCGGUUUAAAUUGAUUGUGCUGAAAAAGUUAAAAUGCUGUAUCUCUGUCAAAACAUUGCUUGUUUGUUUGAGAAUCAGCUCAACCAAUGCUGUGAGUUUGGGCAGGACUAUCUGUUUGAGCAACCAAUGGCAGAUGGGAAGAGUGUGAACCUAUCAUUACUGUAUGUUGCUGCGGAAGUUACACACUUAACCCUAAUCACUCAUGUGGACUGAAGUUUUUAACUGCAGUCAUAAAAAUCCGUCUCAACCCUUACCUGAUCUGAAAAAUCAGAAAGAUCUGGAGACAGAGGAAGAAAAUGGUGCAAAAUUCAUAAUCUCAUUCAAGAUCUCUGAGUGAAGUUGCUGAAAUGUGACAGUUUAUGUGUUGACUCAAUGGGGCGGCAACAGUGGAGAUGAGAGCAGAUCUGUGUUUAGAGAGCUGAAGAUUACAGCACUCAGUGAAAGGGCAUGAAUACUGACACCCACAAUGUUUUGAUGGGAACAGUAAAUCCCUCAGCGGUGCCUCACCCGAGAAUCAAACAGGCAAGAUGCCAGUUCCCAACAGCGGGCACAUGGGAACACAUCUGAAGCUUGAAUUGCUGACAGCCGACCACACCUUCAUUUGUGAAGGACAUUGUCCUUCAAGAGCCAUUAGCCUCGAGGAGGAGAAAGACAAUGGCUGUGACAGCGCACUGCUGGGAUCCAAGAAUUCAAUAGUAUUCUAAUAUGAGUUGAAUGUGAUUGUACAGUGUAGUGUGACAGAUAGAGUCAUGAAAAGGUAAACGAAGCUGAGCUAUGCUGUCUCCAGUCAUCAGACUGUCAGCGGAGCUGAAGAGAAGCGCAUAACUGCUAUUAAAUCACUUUCUGUCAUGCUGUGUGUGUGUGGAGACAGCAAGAUAGAGUCUCUAUUUCCAGGUGUGACAGACAUGAAGGUACACUAGCAGCUAAUGUGCAUGUGCGUGUGAAUGAGCAUAUAAGGUGACUAGCCAUUCUGAUAUAAUCAGGACAGUCCUGAGUUGCCAUUCCUGAUAAUUAGUCUUAACUUUAUUUUGAUUGCUGUGAAUAAAUGUAUUAAACUGAUGUCACUGUGAUUCAUUAUUUUUCUUUCAUGAGAAACCAGCAGCAGCGUGAUGUGGAC